rnacentral:rRNA from 1 species
UGGGGAAUUUUGGACAAUGGGCGCAAGCCUGAUCCAGCCAUGCCGCGUGCGGGAAGAAGGCCUUCGGGUUGUAAACCGCUUUUGUCAGGGAAGAAAUCUUCUGAGUUAAUACCUCGGGAGGAUGACGGUACCUGAAGAAUAAGCACCGGCUAACUACGUGCCAGCAGCCGCGGUAAAUACGUAGGGUGCAAGCGUUAAUCGGAAUUACUGGGCGUAAAGCGUGCGCAGGCGGUUUUGUAAGGCAGAGGUGAAAUCCCCGGGCUCAACCUGGGAACUGCCUUUGUGACUGCAAGGCUUGAGUGCGGCAGAGGGAUGGAAUUCCGCGUGUAGCAGUGAAAUGCGUAGAUAUGCGGAGGAACACCGAUGGCGAAGGCAAAUCCCCCUGGGCCUGCACUGACGCUCAUGCACGAAAGCGUGGGGAGCAAACAGGAUUAGAUACCCUGGUAGUCCACGCCCUAAACGAUGUCAACUGGUUGUUGGGAAGGUUCCUUCUCAGUAACGUAGCUAACGCGUGAAGUUGACCGCCUGGGGAGUACGGCCGCAAGGUUGAAAACUCAAAUGAAUUGACGGGGUCAUAGCUGUUUCCUG